CAGCGUUUGACAUGUCCGGACGACUGGCAGAGAUGCCUUUCUUCCCUUCGGGGACUGGAACACAGGUGCUGCAUGGCUGUCGUCAGCUCGUGUCGUGAGAUGUUGGGUUAAGUCCCGCAACGAGCGCAACCCUCGCCUUUAGUUACCAUCAUUUAGUUGGGUACUCUAAAGGAACCGCCGGUGAUAAGCCGGAGGAAGGUGGGGAUGACGUCAAGUCCUCAUGGCCCUUACGCGCUGGGCUACACACGUGCUACAAUGGCAAGUACAGUGGGCAGCAAUCCCGCGAGGGUGAGCUAAUCUCCAAAACUUGUCUCAGUUCGGAUUGUACUCUGCAACUCGAGUACAUGAAGGCGGAAUCGCUAGUAAUCGCGGAUCAGCAUGCCGCGGUGAAUA
rnacentral:rRNA from 1 species